rnacentral:ribozyme from 13 species
UUUUUUUUUUUUUUUUUUUUUUUUUUUCCCCAAAAUCUGCAAAUUAUUUUUAGUGCUAAAUGUCAACAGCAUUGCCUCACAACUUCUAAACAAAAAAGAACAAUCGA